CCCUAGCCCUGAUAGUAGUGGAAAUCCUUUUUGUUUUUUCUUUAAAAACAAAAAAAGAUUGAAACGAAUAGCAGGAUUAGCU
rnacentral:sRNA from 1 species